UACGUAGGGGGCGAGCGUUGUCCGGAUUUAUUGGGCGUAAAGAGCGUGUAGGCGGCUUUACAGGUCCGUUGUGAAAACUCGAGGCUCAACCUCGAGACGCCGGUGGAAACCGUAAGGCUAGAGUCCGGAAGAGGAGAGUGGAAUUCCUGGUGUAGCGGUGAAUGCGCAGAUAUCAGGAAGAACACCCGUGGCGAAGGCAGCUCGCUGGGACGUUACUGACGCUGAGACGCGAAAGCGUGGGGAGCAAACAGG
rnacentral:rRNA from 1 species